ACGUAGGGUGCGAGCGUUAAUCGGAAUUACUGGGCGUAAAGCGUGCGCAGGCGGGCUUUUAAGCCAGACGUGAAAUCCCCGGGCUCAACCUGGGAAUGGCGUUUGGGACUGGAAGUCUGGAGUACGGCAGAGGAGACUGGAAUUCCUGGUGUAGCAGUGAAAUGCGUAGAUAUCAGGAGGAACACCGAUGGCGAAGGCAGGUCUCUGGGCUGAUACUGACGCUCAUGCACGAAAGCGUGGGGAGCAAACAGGAUUAGAUACCCUGGUAGUCCACGCCCUAAACGAUGUCGACUGGUUGUUGGGGGUUUGACACUCUCAGUAACGAAGCUAACGCGUGAAGUCGACCGCCUGGGGAGUACGGCCGCAAGGUUA
rnacentral:rRNA from 1 species